AGAGCUUGCUCUGUGGAUCAGUGGCGAACGGGUGAGUAACACGUGAGCAACCUGCCCCUGACUCUGGGAUAAGCGCUGGAAACGGCGUCUAAUACCGGAUAUGAGCUGCGAUCGCAUGGUCAGCAGUUGGAAAGAUUUUUCGGUCUGGGAUGGGCUCACGGCCUAUCAGCUUGUUGGUGAGGUAAUGGCUCACCAAGGCGUCGACGGGUAGCCGGCCUGAGAGGGUGACCGGCCACACUGGGACUGAGACACGGCCCAGACUCCUACGGGAGGCAGCAGUGGGGAAUAUUGCACAAUGGGCGAAAGCCUGAUGCAGCAACGCCGCGUGAGGGAUGACGGCCUUCGGGUUGUAAACCUCUUUUAGCAGGGAAGAAGCGAAAGUGACGGUACCUGCAGAAAAAGCGCCGGCUAACUACGUGCCAGCAGCCGCGGUAAUACGUAGGGCGCAAGCGUUAUCCGGAAUUAUUGGGCGUAAAGAGCUCGUAGGCGGUUUGUCGCGUCUGCUGUGAAAUCCCGAGGCUCAACCUCGGGUCUGCAGUGGGUACGGGCAGACUAGAGUGCGGUAGGGGAGAUUGGAAUUCCUGGUGUAGCGGUGGAAUGCGCAGAUAUCAGGAGGAACACCGAUGGCGAAGGCAGAUCUCUGGGCCGUUACUGACGCUGAGGAGCGAAAGGGUGGGGAGCAAACAGGCUUAGAUACCCUGGUAGUCCAC
rnacentral:rRNA from 1 species